AGCAUGUAACCAUGGUUACAUGUAUGUAACCUUAGUUAGUCCAUCAUUAACUAAGGUUAUCCUUUUGGGUAUCUACACAUUAGUCCUACACUUUAUAUGAUAAUAUAUUGGCCACCUUAACAGUGUCCAUAAGACCACCAAAUUAGGCCAAACCAAAAGAUAGCACAUAACAUGUAAUUAAUCCAUAUAUUGUUCAUAUGUAUGUAGAUAUAAGUCCAUAUAUCUAACAAU
rnacentral:lncRNA from 1 species